GACGAACGCUGGCGGCGUGCCUAAUACAUGCAAGUCGAGCGAAGUUUUUCUGGUGCUUGCACCGGAAAAACUUAGCGGCGAACGGGUGAGUAACACGUAAAGAACCUGCCUCAUAGACUGGGACAACUAUUGGAAACGAUAGCUAAUACCGGAUAACAGCAUUAACUGCAUGGUUGAUGUUUAAAAGUUGGUUUUGCUAACACUAUGAGAUGGCUUUGCGGUGCAUUAGCUAGUUGGUGGGGUAAAGGCCUACCAAGGCGACGAUGCAUAGCCGACCUGAGAGGGUGAUCGGCCACACUGGGACUGAGACACGGCCCAGACUCCUACGGGAGGCAGCAGUAGGGAAUCUUCCGCAAUGGGCGAAAGCCUGACGGAGCAACGCCGCGUGAGUGAAGAAGGAUUUCGGUUCGUAAAGCUCUGUUGUUAGGGAAGAAUGAUUGUGUAGUAACUAUACACAGUAGAGACGGUACCUAACCAGAAAGCCACGGCUAACAACGUG
rnacentral:rRNA from 1 species